GUCAGCCAGUUCUAUCCCUUCUCCCCAGCCCGGGGCUGUGCACGACCACUUCCCGCCAGUUGUUCUUACAGCUGUGUGCCACAGAGCAUAAACGGUGGAGCAUAAACCCUGUGAGAGCGGAAGCAGCUUCAAGACCUGCUGAGUUCCCAGAGCUACAUGUCAAAGGUGAAACUCUAGAAACAGAGCUGCUCAUUCACAUUCACCUUUUGAAAACACAGCAUCCUAGUCUCAAUGAGAAAACCUAGGAUCUCUGAAUGAGGAAGGGAGGAGGUGAGAGUGACCAGGAAAACAUCUGAAGCACAGAUUAUUCCUUGGCGAAAUCCAGUUUCAUUGUGUUGAUUUGCUAAACUACCUUCAGCAAUUUUCUUAACUGCAUUCAGUAAUUCCAAAAAAAGGUGAAAAAGGGAUAUACCAAAGAAUUAAAUUCAAGUGUGGACAAUUCUCAUAUCAGGUGUAUGCACGACCCACAUAUGAAGGUGGUUACUCUAAGAUUUUGAAGAGUUUAUUCUCCUCAACAGGGCCAACAUAACCUGCAAUUUUACAUAACUUCUAUAUUGCUCGGAUUUUUUUUCUUACAAAUAGUGUGUUGGUAGAACUAAGCUCAGUUCUUUUCCAAUUAGCCCAAAUUCUGAGUUUGUGGAGUUCAAGCUAAUGAGGUUUGUGUUAUUGCAAAUACGAGAAGAGCUGGGCAAACCAUCACAAUAUGAAGUUAACGACAAGAAAGAGAUCAACGAGGAAGGUUUGCUAAAUUCCCCGUGUACAGAGAACAUUUUCCAAAAAGAAAAUGGAAUCGGAUACUUACAGAUAGGACCGACUUCUAAGAGAUUGUCAAAGGAGCAGCAUGUUGUGGUCCCCAGGGUGGCAACCAUCUAGAGGGUAAAAAGCAGACAGCCUUUUAUUCCCCAGGUGCCAGUCACCGCUGUAACCUCCACACAAGCAACUGCUGCCCCAUGGUCCAACCUGGGGCCAUGAGCCGAGAUCCCAAUGAAUGUCUGCUACAUGGAAACGUAAGCCCAUGGAUGCACAUUGAAUCUUUGGGUGAAAGCAUCAUAACAGGUUAAGAGAAACAGAUUUGCAGACAGAAAACUAAGCUCUGAGGUUAGAAACCGGGAAGUUGCAAAAGAUUUUCCAGGGUGCCUUGGGGCAGACAUGAAGCAAUCUACCACCUGGACAAUG
rnacentral:lncRNA from 10 species